rnacentral:rRNA from 1 species
UACGUAGGGUCCGAGCGUUGUCCGGAAUUAUUGGGCGUAAAGGGCUCGUAGGCGGUCCGUCACGUCGGGAGUGAAAACUCAGGGCUCAACCCUGAGCGUGCUUCCGAUACGGGCGGACUAGAGGUAUGCAGGGGAGAACGGAAUUCCUGGUGUAGCGGUGGAAUGCGCAGAUAUCAGGAGGAACACCGGUGGCGAAGGCGGUUCUCUGGGCAUUACCUGACGCUGAGGAGCGAAAGCAUGGGGAGCGAACGGG